ACUGGUCUGAGAGGAUGAUCAGUCACACUGGAACUGAGACACGGUCCAGACUCCUACGGGAGGCAGCAGUGGGGAAUAUUGGACAAUGGGCGAAAGCCUGAUCCAGCCAUGCCGCGUGUGUGAAGAAGGUCUUCGGAUUGUAAAGCACUUUAAGUUGGGAGGAAGGGCAGUAAGUUAAUACCUUGCUGUUUUGACGUUACCAACAGAAUAAGCACCGGCUAACUUCGUGCCACCACCCGCGGUAAUACGAAGGGUGCAAGCGUUAAUCGGAAUUACUGGGCGUAAAGCGCGCGUACGUGGUUCAGCAAGUUGGAUGUGAAAUCCCCGGGCUCAACCUGGGAACUGCAUCCAAAACUACUGAGCUACACUACGGUACAGGGUGGGUGGGAAUUUCCUG
rnacentral:rRNA from 1 species